rnacentral:rRNA from 1 species
GACGAGGGAUCCUAGCGUUGCUCGGAAUUAUUGGGCGUAAAGCGGGUGUAGGUGGCUUGGUAAGUCGGGUGUGAAAGCCCAGGGCUCAACCCUGGAAGUGCAUUCGAUACUGCUUAGCUUGAGUGCGAGAGAGGUUAAUAGAAUACCUGGUGUAGUGGUGAAAUACGUAGAUAUCAGGUGGAACACCGGAGGCGAAGGCGGUUAACUGGCUCGACACUGACACUGAGACCCGAAAGUGCGGGGAUCAAACAGG